GGAGGUAGAGCCCCCAGAACUGGCUGAUCCAUGGCCUGGUGCCCUGAGUAGUCAGAGCAACCACUCAUUGAUCAGCAACCAAACCUGCCUCCCUCUUCACCUGGAGAACAACAUUACCCAGGGAGCUACAGGUCCCAGGAGGACAGGAGACAAGGCCUGGAGCUCAGCCCAGCCAUGCCCAGCCUGGAUCAGCCCCGCCUGCUGAACUGCAGGCAAGUGAGCCAGAAAACAAAUGCUGGUUCUGUGCAGCUGAAAUUUCCAAGUUGUUACACAGUAAAAGUUGCCUGACACAGGAGCGAAAACUGGGAGAGCUUUUAGUAUCUAUCAAAAUGUUUAAUGACAUGCCCUUUGACCCAGUGUCCUAAUUCCAGGUGCUGGGCUACUGGAACACUCCAGCUCGAAACAUGUGAACAAUGAUCUUUAGACCGACUCCCGUGUGGUAAGAGACGGUGUGCGCCCUGUCCCAUGUGAUAGAUGGGGCUGUCCAGGCAUUGAGGCGUGAAAUCACUUAGCAGGUCACACAGGGUGCCCCUGGGGGACUAGGAAGACUCCGGAGCUGCGCUGCCCCUCCACUGGAAGCAACAGCCCCAGGGGUCAACAGCCCCCAUAGCAGCAUGUGUGUGGGCACCACCUGGCCUGUCUGCGGCCACAGAUCAUUGACUUGAGAGCCCCGCCGUUUUAUCAUCUUGGGAGCCUUUUCCAAGCAGGACCCACAGCCCCCCUACAAGCAGCUCCAAUCCCCAGGGGGCUGCCAGGGGCUUAAGAUUGGCUGUGAAAACUCGUAAGAUAGAAAGCCCGGGGAAAGAAGAAUUUCCCAUCGGAUUGAAGUUGACUGUUUUCCAUUCAGCCCUCAGACAGCCAAUCUUUUCACCAAAGAACUGCAUUUUUCAAACUCUUUUUUCCCCCUGGUCCUCCAGCGGCCUCUUAGAUGGGAUGGCGGGAAAGCCUCCCUGGGUGAGAAGAUGCUCAGGGCCAGUGUUGGGGUUCGCCACCUGGGCCCCCCACCUCCUUCCUCAGCCACUCAUGGAAGGCCAAGGGGAGGAAAAUUGACUUAACACAGGGGCUCCGUGGACACCUCCGCAGAGAAGUUCGUCUUUUGUUGGGGGGAAGCCCAGACCGGAUCUCGGAGCUGGGAAAUAGAUCUGUUUGCUCGCUGUCCCCACUCGCCUCUCGGUUCAUCUGUCUCUGUUAGCUCAGUGCUGAUAAUUCUGUCGAGUUGGAGCGCUCGCCUGGCUUGGCAGUGAAUUGAGUCGAGAAGGUUUUUCCAUGAAGAAACAUAGAUGCCGUUGUCAGAGUUGGGGCGGGGGAGGGGGAGGUGGCUUCACGUAGUGGGUUGGAGCCAUCGGGGUCUUCAGGCCCAGCAGAGAGGAUGCGCACCUGUGCAUCAGCUUGUGGCAACUGCUCGCCUGCAGGGAAGAGAUGAGCUGAGAAAACGGUACUGUCCUGGAUGUCUGGCUGGAGAGAACCACUGCAUCUUUCUGUAUCAGGCAUUAGAGGAAGGCCUCAUUCAUUUUUAAACUGUUGCAGAGUGUUCCAUUGUAGGCAUGUGGUGUGGCAGCCAUGAUGGCAUAGGAGGUGGCCAUUGAGUGAAUGAGUGUGGGCACAGGGCUGGUGGUCCACAGGCCGAUCAGUGAUUUAGGAGGUGCUGAGCACAAAGCCUUGCCCAAUUCGUAUACCAACAUUCACCUCCGGGCCAGCACAGUCUCUUCCUACAAGGCAGGUGCUGUCACCAUUUUAUAGAUGAGUAAACUGAGGCACAGAGAAGUGAAGAAACUUGCCCAAGAUCACACAGCUAAUAAGUGGGAGAGCCAGGAUGCAAACCCAGGCCUGACUGACCCCAAAGACACCCAUGCCUGUAACUACCGCCUCUCUAGAUGGCCCAGGACUCUGGAAAUUUGCCCAAGUCAUGCUGUGGAUAGAGAAGAUAAGAAAACGUGGAGUCUCUUGGAGUCCCAGGUCUUACGGUAACCUCCCUGUCCACACUCAACAGCUUUAAGUGGCCAGGGUGGGACUCUGGCUGUGGUCAGCAGCCUGAUCUGAAGCCCUUGGCUUUUGGUUCGCUUUUGCCUAAAGUAACCAGAUAAUUGCAGCUGAAGCGAGUCACUCAGCUGGAAUUGCAGAAGCCAAGUGCCUCCCUACUGGACUUGCUCUUCUGCAGUCUUUGCUCUUCUGUUACCCUCUCUGGAAUGAUCACUGCCAAAGCCAGGACCCAGGGCCCCAGCAUCAUCUCUUUGUCUUGGGGCACAGCUCGGGGUACACAUGAUGCCAACUGAGUUCUCCCCAAACUCUGAUACAACCCAGAGCUGGAGCCAGCUGGGGUGGUCCCUCUGCCUGGCAGCUCCUGGCAGACAUGCCGCUUGGGGCUCCAGCACACUCACUCCUCUGCAUCCAGCACUCCUGGGCUGGGCCAACACUAAUAUUUACAUUUGAUGGCAAGGCUGCAGCCCAGGGCCGCUCCCCAACCCUGUGGUUCUCCUGGGCACGGGGGAUGGAUCUGCAGAGUCGGGGGUUGGAGACAGCUUAUGUGGGCUGAACGGGAGUCAUGGGGGAUGGCAGGCAGGAAAUUAGACCCAAGUCCUCAAAUAGCAAAAAUAACUAUACUGAUAACAAUAGCAAUUAUUUACAAAGUACUUACUAUAUGCCAAAGGCUAGAAAACAGAGGCAAAGUCAGUGGCAUGCCCAAGGUCACACAGCUAGUAAGCGAUGGGCCUGGAUGGCCAGCUGAGUCAACGAGCCUUGGGAAUUCUAAAAUCAAAUGCUGACGGGGACCAGGCAUUUAAUGCAGUGAGUGAAGCCUGGUAAGCUUAAGACGAUAGGGAGUGGUGGGGCCUGGGGCACACUGGAGAGGGACCCCCUUACCUAAUGCUCAGUUCUAGCUAGUUGUUGCCACAGGGAAAUGCAGACCUAGUGGGGCCAGCUCGUCUGAUUUUCAAGAGAAAAUCUUAGCAUGUUUGUUUCUAUAAUCAGGGGGAAAAUACAUAUUUAUACAUCUACAGGUCUUUAUUUGAAGUCUUCCAAUUUUUAAACGUUGGCAACACAUUCUUUUUCUAAAAACAACACAGUGGGAGCCAAGUCAAACACGGCUUCGGGUGGUACCUCUGCUCUCUCUGCAAAGCCCAGCUUGUUCACCCCUGCGCUCUGCUUCCUUCAUGCAGAAAGCAAGAGGGAGACUUCAGCUCAAAGGCCUUCUGUCUGGACCGUCACCCUGGAGCCACUUUCGGGGUGGAUACAUGGGGGAAACGUCACCCUUAGAGCCAGACAUUCAGGGCCCCACUGGCCCCCACGCAGCAGAAGGCCUUGCUCUGGCCCACCUCCCGCGGCCCUCCUUCCUGGGAUGAGGAGGUUCUGCUGAGGCGAGGGCACGUGCCCACCCAGAGCUCACAUCCCCUCCUCUGCACCAGCCUCCGGGCCCUGGGGACCCCAGAAUUCCCUGCCCCAAAGCCUCGAGCCCUCUUUCAGGACCAGUGGAUCAGUUUUCCGUUGCUAGAAAGGAAACCACUUAAACUGCACAGUGUGAAACCACUAUCAUCUCAUUGUGAGAACUCCCUCCCACGGUCCUGGGCCUGUCGGGGGUUGGGGGGGUGGGUGUAAUCAUUCUCCCCUGGGUUGCUCCUGACGUCCAGUCGGACGGUGGCUGGGGCCACAGCCAUCUGGAGGUUCUUCACCCACACGUCUGCGGUCGAUCUUACGGUCGGCUGAGGCCUCCGCCGGGGCUGCCGGCCAGAACAUCUGCGCAUGGCCUCUCCAUGGGGCCCGUGCUCCCUCACCUUGUGGCCAGUGGUUCUAGAAACAAGUGUCCCAGGAGGGAGACCCAGGAGGAAGCCGAAUCACCUUUCAGGACCCGCUUCCAGAGGCCCUUCUGUCAUGUUAUUGGUAGAGGCAGAAACAAAAGUCUGGCCAGGUCCGGGGAGGGAUGGGGGCAAGGUUGAUGGCCGCGGGGCUAGGUUACACGGUAGAAGAGUCCACGGCGUGGGAGAUGUUUCUGUGGCCAUUUUGGAGAAUAUUUUCUGCCCUAGCCUGCAUGUUUCUCUUCCCCCGAGCACCUCCCGAGGAUGCAGGGCAGUGGUGAGGCCAAGGGGCCGCCGCAGGGGGCUGGGAGUGGAUGGACGGGGCGCAGGCUGGCUGCGCACGCGCGGCGCACGCGGACCUCGACCCUGCCGUUAGGGACAGGCUGUCUGGAGGGCGGGGCAGGCCCUCUGGAUUUGCUUUGAGGAGUCCCCACCGAGAGCCACACGUGGAAAGGCAGAGGUCGGCUCCUAGGGGAUCCGAGUGACAGCCGCUGCUGAGCAGGAAGGGCCCGUGGGGAGGCGAAGAGAGAUGGAGAUAAAUGACCUGCUGUGUGUGCACCAGCCUCCUGGCGAACUCGUCUUGACAGUGUGGAAAGGAGGCCUCAGAAGCCUCCAGGGGCCCAUUCCAGCUCUGAACUUGAAAAUGCAUUUGUUAAAAGGAGCCAAAUUGGGAUGAAAUGACUAAGGAAGGUGCCCUUUUGCAGAGCUGUGGAUGGAAAUGUCUUCCAGAUCAGGACGAGGUGCUCUAUUUUCCAGAUUGGUCCCUAGAAGCUUCUUGAUUCUCAGGAUUGUCUUGGUCUGCUGAUCUCAGAGUUAUUUUCACCAAGACUCUGGACCACCGUGAACUCUCAGUGGCCGGUCCCACUCGCUGAUGGGGAAAGAGAAGAAUUCCCCUGUCACCUGGUUAGGAGCCUUUCCCAACUGGGUGAAGAUGUUUCCAAAAUAUUUCUAUGGUAAUUGAUGGAGUUAUUAAGAUUUAUUGAGUAAAUAACGCUCCCAUUCAAAAGAAGCUCAGGCUGAAAGCACAUCUAACUUCCAUAGGUGGGCUUCCUUGUUGCGCAUCAGAAACCCUACCAAUUCCCAUGGUCUCCAUCACAGACUCUGGGACCACCACACUGUCUCGUGGGUAAAGUGACUUCCCUCAUGGCGGAGGCCUCAGAGAGGAGAUGGACGGGGCAGUGGGCUGAGUGGCUUGCUCAGUCUCAGUGUGGAGACAUCCGUCCCAACCCAGGCCAUGCUGGGCUCUGCAUUUCUCCCAGCAUCCCCUUUGAUAGCUGGAUGUCUUGGGGCACAAAGCAGGGUGCUACUCCCUCCUCCAGCAUCUGACCCACACCCACGGGCAUAGCUCUACUUUCGUGAAACAAAUAAACACAAAUCAUCAUCACAAGUCUUGACAUAACUAUUUGAGAGCGUGUGGUGGGAUGAUACAUGUUUUUGCUCCUGGUGUUCCCACCUUGCCCCCUCCUCCAUUCUGCCAGCUGUGCAUCCCCAAGGCGAUGAGUCAACAGAAACUCAGAAGACAGACUGUCAGCUCUCGGCUCUGGAGUUUCAAAACCUUUGGCCUCAGGGGGAUGAGAGGGACUGAGGCAUAAAUAAUGGAUGUGGGAGGAGAGUCGGGGAAGAGGGAAACUUCUGCACCUGCAGAUGGAAAGGAUUCCCCUGGCUGGGGGAAAGGAGAGAGAUGGAGGGGAGGCAGGGCCACGUGGGCACAAGCGGACUCAGCUUCCAGAACCACCCGGCUCCCCGUGGAGGGAGCUCUUCUGUCAUCGGCCAGGGGUGCCAAGGGAGCUCAGUCAGCACCUUCACAUCUGCAGUCUCUUCUUGUGGUCACUGCACACCAUCCCCACAGGAGCUACGUGGGUGUCCUUCCUGUGGAUGGCAGGUGAGGACCUCCUUUUGGGGUGGCCAGCACACUGGCCCAGAGGGGCACCUCCAAUAGUGUCUGAGGGCUUGCCUGUCGCCUAGUGUUUAUCCUAUGUGGAUGCUCCCAUUUCAGUGUCUCAGGACAUGUGUAAACUGUAGGGGUGGGUUAGGGCCCUGGACACCUGCAGGGGUAGAAGUGAUGGAGGAGACAAAGCCGCUCAUCACUCCUGCCCCAUUGGAACUGGCUGAGGUGCACCUGCUGAGGUGGGGCAGGGUGACCCCAUGGCUCUUAGAAGCUCUUUAGCUACAGAAGCUCACAGCGUGUGGAGGGAGGGACGAGAUGGGCUGUGGGCUCAUGCACGUCCCUUAGUUCCAGCUGUAACUCCACUUUUUCUGUUACUGUUUGGAAAUCCUAACUGGGUGAACUGUGAGAGAGAAGCCAUUUCUUCCUUCCUCCCUUGCGGAAGCUCUGGGGACCUGGUCUGUUUUCUCAGCUCUGCCACUUCUCCCCGGGGACUCUCCUCCCCAGCCAGGCUGCCCAAGGGGUGGAGCCUCCCACCAGCCCCUGCCCUGCGCAGCUCCCCACCCCCCACGCAAGUUCACAGCCUUUCCAUUUAAAGAGUUCAUUGCUGCAGGAAACAGAUGGGAGUAACAAAAAUAAUAAACAGUGAGAAUUUCAAAGGUUCCGGAAGCUUCGAGUCAUGGUCUCAGGCCUGUAGUUAAAGACUUCCUUCUGAGAUGGGUCCUGAAAAUGACUGCAGCCAUGGUCACUUGAGCUCCUGGCAUGGCCAGGCAGGUACUGGCAGCAUUGCAGGCUGCCAGCCGCUGGACUGGUCUGGAAUGUCACGGUGGUCCUGCAGAGGGACGGUGUCGUUCCUGCCAUUUCACACAUGUGAAAAUUGAGCUCAGAGAGCAGGAUUUGGCCACGUGAUUUACAGGGCCCACUGCAAAAUGAAAAUGCAGUGCUCUUGUUCAAAAAUUAUUAAGAAUUUCAAGACGAUGACAGCAGAGCGUUAAACCGAGCACGAGCCCUUCGGAUCGCGGGGCCCUGUGUGACCGCGUGGGACAGGGGUUGUGGCAGAGCCAUUAGACAGCUUACCCAAGGACACCAACCAGUGAGAGGCAAACCCAGGUUUCUCUGCAAGGUCGAGCACAGCCUGAAACUGAAUUUUGCCGUCUCCUGUUUACCUGCCGGCAUCUCCACUGCCUCCUUCCCACCCACCACAGCUCCUGGAGGCUUGGCUGUGACCCUUAUUUCUAUGCCUUAAAAAGAACAGUGAAAAGCAGAGCAUGACUUGAAGACACGGACACUACACAAAUCCUGGUGUUGUUCCGAGAAGCCCUUUGGCUUGUGCUAAAACGGGAGCCGAAGACACGAUUGGGCAUUGCCCCAUCGCUAGCCUUCGCCAUUCAAUUAACUUGACAAGGAAACAUUUUUGAGACAGAUGAUUCUCAUUUUCAAUGCCGUUUGAAAGUCCCUGGGGGCAGGAAGAAUAGUCAAGCUUACUCACUUCAGGAAGUGGUGUCUUCACUUGGAUUUAUGUGGACUUUAUUUUAAGGGACCGCAGCGGGCUCAGCCCACGUAGAUGCGCCUCCCUGGUGGGACGAG
ensembl:lncRNA